UACGGAGGGGGCUAGCGUUGUUCGGAAUUACUGGGCGUAAAGCGCGCGUAGGCGGACCUGCAAGUCGGGGGUGAAAGCCCGAGGCUCAACCUCGGAACUGCCUUCGAUACUGCGGGUCUCGAGUCCGGGAGAGGUGAGUGGAAUUCCUAGUGUAGAGGUGAAAUUCGUAGAUAUCUGGAGGAAUACCGGUGGCGAAGGCGGCUACCUGGCCCACUCUUGACGCUGAGGCGCGAAAGCUAGGGGAGCAAACGGG
rnacentral:rRNA from 1 species